rnacentral:rRNA from 1 species
ACGGGAGGCAGCAGUGGGGAAUAUUGGGCAAUGGGCGAAAGCCUGACCCAGCAACGCCGCGUGAAGGAAGAAGGUUUUCGGAUCGUAAACUUCUAUCCUUGGUGAAGAUAAUGACGGUAGCCAAGAAGGAAGCCCCGGCUAACUACGUGCCAGCAGCCGCGGUAAUACGUAGGGGGCAAGCGUUGUCCGGAAUGAUUGGGCGUAAAGGGCGCGUAGGCGGCCAACUAAGUCUGGAGUGAAAGUCCUGCUUUUAAGGUGGGAAUUGCUUUGGAAACUGGAUGGCUUGAGUGCAGGAGAGGUAAGCGGAAUUCCCGGUGUAGCGGUGAAAUGCGUAGAGAUCGGGAGGAACACCAGUGGCGAAGGCGGCUUACUGGACUGUAACUGACGCUGAGGCGCGAAAGUGUGGGGAGCAAACAGGAUUAGAUACCCUGGUA